rnacentral:lncRNA from 1 species
AAGAAGCCUCCUGCUGGAUUAAGGAAACUGUGAACAGUUGCCUGCUCCAGAGCUACACCACCUCUGCUGUGCUUUGUGUUGGCAAAAGUGGGUACCUCCUGUGCUCCCUCUCUCCCCAUGUAACUCGGUUCUGGGCAAAAGUCUCAAGUGAGUGCAUCUGAUUGACUGGACCAGUCAUAUCUGGAAUCCUAGCUGCAAGGGAGGUUGGGAAAUCAUAGUGUUUAACUUUACUGCCUCUGUAGUACAAUAAGGCAUGUUUAAAUCUGCUGAGUGAAACAAUCCACCUCGUAAUUUUACAUUCUUUCUCUUAACAUUAAUAAUUUUUAUAACUUUUAGUCCUCGUUUUACAAAAUUUUUAUUUAUUAAAAAAAUUUUUUUUUAAUGUUUAUUUAUUUUUGAGACAAUGCGAGAGACAGAGUGUAAGCAGCGGAGGGGCAGACAGAGGGAGACACAGAAUCCGAAGUGGGCUCCAGGCUCUGAGUUGUCAGCCCAAAGCCCGACGCGGGGCUCGAACUCACAAACUGUGAGAUCAUGACCUGAGCCGAAGUCAGACGCUUAACCGACUGAGCCACUCAGGCGCUCUCGUUUUACAAAAUUUUUAAACAAUCACUGUAUAUUCCAAAGAUACCUAAGAUUUUUUCUUCUCUUAAAUCACGGAUCCCAAAAUUAAAUAUAGCAAUCCAGGAAAGUUCUGCUUACAUACAGAUUUAAAAAACACAUAAAAAUCACUCAAUAGAAUAAUGCUGUGUUUCUUUAGAGAUGGAGAAGGAUUCCUAUCUCUGUUGUUUAAAUUGUAGGAAACAUUAAAAAAUGAUCUGGCAUAUUCUUUUGUUGAUGACUGUGUGACGAGAAACUAAUAAGACAGCUAUUCACCUAGGCUAAACUUUUUUAGAUGGUGGACUGGGGUUCAAUCAGAAAGUAAUUAGAAACAACAAUAUUGUACUAUGAUUAUGUAAUGUGAUAAAUAUGGAUACAGGGCACUCAUGACAAUAUAUAAAUAUAUCAAAGUAAUAUGUUGUACACCUUACAUUUACACAAUGUUGUAUAUCAAAUACAUUCAAUUAAAAAAAUAAUUGGGGAGAGGGGUGCCUGGGUGGCUUAGUCACUUAAGCAUCCCACUUGAUCUCAGCUUGGGUCUGAAUCUCAGGGCCGUGUGUUCAGGACCCAUGCCGAACAUGAAGCCAACUUAAAAUAUAAUAAUAAUAAGGGGCACCUGGGUGGGUCAGUCGGCUAAGCGUCUGACUUCGGCUUAGGUCAUGACCUCAUGGUUGGUGAGUUCAAGCCCCAUGCAGGCUCUGUGCUGACAGUUCAAAGCCUGGAGCCUGCUUCAGGUUCUGUGUCUCCUUCUCUCUCUCUGCCCCUCCCCUGCUUUCACUCUGUCUCUCUCUCUCUCUCUCUCUCUCUCUCUCUCUCAAAAAUAAAUAAAAACAUUUAAAAAAAUAACUGGAUGAGAAUUUAGAGAAGUUUCUUAAAAUGAUUUUUUGGCAUGGGUAAUAAAGGGUGGAUAUUACUGUAGAUCUACCUCACAGUUUCCAGCAAAUUAUUAUAAUUUAUAUUAAAAAAGGAUUAUUAGCUCAAGAUUAUUUAUGGACUUAAGGAAUUCCACUUCUUAUACGUACGAGUGAGUGAAUACGCACUUAUGAGUGAAUAUUGCUUCUUAAAGAGUUUCUUUUUUUUUUUUAAAUUUUUUUUUCAACGUUUAUUUAUUUUUGGGACAGAGAGAGACAGAGCAUGAACGGGGGAGGGGCAGAGAGAGAGGGAGACACAGAAUCGGAAACAGGCUCCAGGCUCUGAGCCAUCAGCCCAGAGCCCGACGCGGGGCUCGAACUCACAGACCGCGAGAUCGUGACCUGGCUGAAGUCGGACGCUUAACCGACUGCGCCACCCAGGCGCCCCGCUUCUUAAAGAGUUUCUAAUAGUAUUCUUUCCAGCUCUGUUAGAAAGUAUUGGUCCUGUGUUUAUAUCAUUCUUCUUAAUACUUUUUAGGUAUGUAGUAGUCUUUGGUUUAACUGACUUAGUGGUAUGUAUUUGUAAUUUGGGUUUUUGUUUCACAUAUGAAUUUUCAUGAAGCAUAUAAAUUUUAUAGUAUACUUUGGUAUGUAUAAUUAAAAUUAGAUUUUAAAGGAUGAUACUUUGUGAUAGAAUGAUAGAAUAGGAUAGAGGAUAGAUACUUUAUGAUAGGAUGAUAGAAUACUUGACUCUUGCUAAAAGAAACUGUAAUUUAGGAGUAAUGCUAAAAAAACUCUUUUGAGAUAUGGCUCUACAUUUUUUUAACCAAAAUGUGUUUACAACAGCAUUCUUUUCUAUGCUAACUGAACAGAUUUGUAUGACCAAAGCCUAAACGCACAUCUGCUUUUCACAUGAAGAAAAUUAUAAAGAAAAUUUUGGUAUUUUGUGAGAAUGUCAUUUUUUUUUAAAUGUUCAUUUAUUUUUGAGAGCGAGAACGCAAGUGGGGGAGGGGCAGAGAGAGGGGUGGACAGAGGAUCUGAAGCAGGCUCUGCCCUGACAGCAGAGAGCCUGAUGCAGGGCUCGAACCCAUGAACUGCGAACUGUGAGAUCAUGACCUGAGCCUAAGUCAGACGCUCAACUAACUGAGCCACUUAGGCACCCCAAGAAUAUGAUUUUUAAGACAGCCUAGUUAAUAAAAGAGGGGGUGAGAAAUGUAUUUUCUUUAGGAAGAAAUUUUGACAAGCCUAAUUUUGGUUAGUGCCUAAUAUUUAAUCUUUGUUUUAUAGAUAUACAGUACAAUGAAGAAGAAAUUGAAAAAGAGCCAGAGUUAGACGAUGACCUUCUUCUUUUUCAUGCGAGAUUUUAAUUCCCUGCAGAGGCUGCUAAAGAAGUCCACUGUCACCCUUAACCACCGAUGCCUCAACUUCAAUUCAUUUUGUUUUUUGAACUGAGAGACUAAGCUGUAUUGAGUAAAAUGGAAAGUGUACAUUUUUGUUUCCUGUGGGUGAGAUAAUGAAAGAUUAUGACAACUUGCUUUCAAGUUGUGAGAUUUGAGGGAAAUCAAGGUCUUUUCCUUCCUUUUUUUCAUACAAUAUCAUUGCAGGAUUCCAGUCUUUCCUUACUCAUGUUUUAAUUUAUUUUCUACAUGAAUAGUUAGCUAUGGAUUAGUAUUCAUUUCUUAGACAAUCCAAGAACUUAGCCAGAACAAGCAGCAGCAGUAAGUGUUAAAGACAUCAAAUUGAAAAAUUUAGAUUUAUGGUUGCUAGCACUGCCAACCUGUUUACUGAGAAAAAAGCAAAACAAAAUAAAACCAAUAAAACCUCUGAUUUAAUUUAAGAAUUUAGAUUUUUUUUCGACAUAUUGCCUAUAGAAUGUAGAAAAAACCCCUACAUUUCAUGUUCACAGAUGUCUAUAAUUUUCUUUGCACAGCUUUUAGUUUACAUUUUGCUUGACAUUAGUAUAUUCUUUAAAAAGAAUUUUUUGUAAGUUUAUUUAUUUUGAAAGAGACAGGGACAGCACGAGCAGGGGAGGGACAGAGAGAGAGAAUCCCAAGCAGGUUCUAUGCUGCCAGCUGCAGAGCCCAUUGCUGGGCUCCAACCCAUGAACUGUGAGAUCAUGACCCGAGCCAAAACCAAGAGUC